rnacentral:rRNA from 2 species
AAAGGUGUCUAUAACCGGGGGAUCCACCUCUUUCCAUUCCGAACAGAGAAGUUAAGCCCCUGAGUGCCGAUGGUACUGCCUUAUGGUGGGAGAGUAGGUUGGCGCCGAAU